GGAGCUCGACCCCUUCUCUGCGCUGUCCGAGGGGCCCGAGCCGGUCGCUGGGCGAGGAGCCGCCCGCCUGGGGUGGAUGCUCUGACAGAGCCGGACGCCCAGUGGCGCUUUGGGCGGCCCACGGAAGACCUGGAGUCACAGGACGAGGAGAUCGCCAGUCAUGUUUUCUCGCUUUACCUCUUCAGCCCGGAAACCGGCAACUUCGUGUCUCCCUGGGGUAGGGACAGUUUGGAGUCUCUUAACCUCUGCCCAACAGAUUUAUCCCCAGGGCCAGUGUCCUCCGUGGAUAAGUGCAAGUAGGAGUGGGCGAUGUUUCCAUUAUUAGGAGGCAACAACCCCGUACACUGGAGCCCCAAAUCCUGCAAAGGAGUCUGAAAGUUCUUCCUCUGUUCCGCGUGUUUCCUGCGCCAAGGAGGACACAUAGAACAUUUUGCUAGCCCUUCUAGUGCACGUUGAUUGCCAACUGCUUGGUGCAACUUUCCCAUAACUAUGUGUCUUUUUUUGCAAUUGAAAGCAACCAAUGGUCAAGUACAGGCAAAAAAAAAAAA